UACGUAGGGGGCGAGCGUUGUCCGGAAUCAUUGGGCGUAAAGAGCGUGUAGGCGGCUUGGUAAGUCUGACGUGAAAGCCCGCGGCUCAACCGCGGAUUGUCGUUGGAAACUGCCUCGCUAGAGUCCGGAAGAGGAGAGCGGAAUUCCUGGUGUAGCGGUGGAAUGCGCAGAUAUCAGGAAGAACACCCGUGGCGAAGGCGGCUCUCUGGGACGGUACUGACGCUGAGACGCGAAAGCGUGGGGAGCGAACAGG
rnacentral:rRNA from 1 species